rnacentral:rRNA from 1 species
GAUGAACGCUGGCGGCGUGCCUAACACAUGCAAGUCGAACGGAGUCCAGCCUUUAAGACCUUCGGGUCAAAGAGGGGAAGACUGAGUGGCGGACGGGUGAGUAACACGUGGGCAACCUGGCUCAUAGAGGGGGAUAACAGAGAGAAAUUUCUGCUAAUACCGCAUAAGCACACACUGCCGCAUGGCAGAGGGUGAAAAGAGAAUCGCUAUGAGAUGGACCCGCGUCUGAUUAGCCAGUUGGCAGGGUAAGAGCCUACCAAAGCGACGAUCAGUAGCCGAUCUGAGAGGAUGAACGGCCACAUUGGGACUGAGACACGGCCCAAACUCCUACGGGAGGCAGCAGUGGGGGAUAUUGCACAAUGGGGGGAACCCUGAUGCAGCGACGCCGCGUGAGUGAAGAAGUAUGUCGGUAUGUAAAGCUCUAUCAGCAGGGAAGAUAAUGACAGUACCUGAAGAAGAAGCCCCGGCUAACUACGUG